rnacentral:rRNA from 1 species
GUGGACCUCGGAUCCAGGUAAGGAAUCCCCCCCUGAAACUUAAGCCAUGAUAAAAAAACCGGAAGAAAAGUUUUCCCAAUAAAAGGGGGGAAAUUUUUCCCCCUGGUUGGGCCCCCGGGGGGAAAACCCCCGGGGGGGGCCAACCCCGAAAAAGGGGCCCCCGCGGAAAAAAAAAAAAAAAAAUUUUUUUUUUUUUUCCGGGGGGGGGGGUUUUUUUUUUUUUUGGGGGGGAAAAAAAUUAAAAAAAAAAAAAAAUUUUUAAAACCAAACCUUUUUUUUUUUUUUUUUGUAAAAAACCCCCCGAGAGUGUUGGGGGGGGGGGGGGUGGGGGGAAUAAAAAAGAGAACAAAAAUUUUUUUUUAUCUGAGGGGGGGGGGCGGCGCGGGGGGGGGGGGGGGGGACUAACCAUACUUUUUCUCUCCCGCCCGCGCGCCGCCCGCGGGGGCGCGCGUGGGGGGGGGGGGGCCCCCCCCCAAAAAAAAAAAAAAAAAAAAAAAAAAUAUUUUUUUAUUUAUCAAUUGGUGUGUGGGUGUGGUCUUUCUCUCGGCUGCGGGCGGGAGAGGGGGGACGGGGGCAUGUGUGGGAAGGGGUGGGGGGUGCUCGACACUCACUCUCACGCUAUAAAUGUAUAAUUUAGUAAUGCAUGUUGAAGUAAGUUGGGUGGUAUGAGUGGUGAAUGUGGAUAAAGAAAAAAAAAAAAGAAAAAAAAAAA